rnacentral:rRNA from 1 species
AGUGAACGCUGGCGGUAGGCCUAACACAUGCAAGUCGAACGGCAGCACAGUAAGAGCUUGCUCUUACGGGUGGCGAGUGGCGGACGGGUGAGGAAUACAUCGGAAUCUACUUUUUCGUGGGGGAUAACGUAGGGAAACUUACGCUAAUACCGCAUACGACCUACGGGUGAAAGCAGGGGAUCUUCGGACCUUGCGCGAUUGAAUGAGCCGAUGUCGGAUUAGCUAGUUGGCGGGGUAAAGGCCCACCAAGGCGACGAUCCGUAGCUGGUCUGAGAGGAUGAUCAGCCACACUGGAACUGAGACACGGUCCAGACUCCUACGGGAGGCAGCAGUGGGGAAUAUUGGACAAUGGGCGCAAGCCUGAUCCAGCCAUACCGCGGGGGUGAAGAAGGCCUUCGGGUUGUAAAGCCCUUUUGUUGGGAAAGAAAAGCAGCGGGUUAAUACCCCGCUGUUCUGACGGUACCCAAAGAAUAAGCACCGGCUAACUUCGUG